rnacentral:rRNA from 1 species
GCGGUUUGUCGCGUCUGCUGUGAAACCCGGGGCUUAACCCCGUGGUGUGCAGUGGGUACGGGCAGACUAGAGUGCAGUAGGGGAGACUGGAAUUCCUGGUGUAGCGGUGAAAUGCGCAGAUAUCAGGAGGAACACCGAUGGCGAAGGCAGGUCUCUGGGCUGUUACUGACGCUGAGGAGCGAAAGCAUGGGGAGCGAACAGGAUUAGAUACCCUGGUAGUCCAUGCCGUAAACGUUGGGCACUAGGUGUGGGGGACAUUCCACGUUUUCCGCGCCGUAGCUAACGCAUUAAGUGCCCCGCCUGGGGAGUACGGCCGCAAGGCUAAAACUCAAAGGAAUUGACGGGGGCCCGCACAAGCGGCGGAGCAUGCGGAUUAAUUCGAUGCAACGCGAAGAACCUUACCAAGGCUUGACAUACACCAGACCGGCCCGGAGAUGGGUUUUCCUCUUUGAGGUUGGUGUACAGGUGGUGCAUGGUUGUCGUCAGCUCGUGUCGUGAGAUGUUGGGUUAAGUCCCGCAACGAGCGCAACCCUCGUUCUAUGUUGCCAGCACGUGAUGGUGGGGACUCAUAGGAGACUGCCGGGGUCAACUCGGAGGAAGGUGGGGAUGACGUCAAAUCAUCAUGCCUCUUAUGUCUUGGGCUUCACGCAUGCUACAAUGGCCGGUACAAUGGGUUGCGAUACCGUGAGGUGGAGCUAAUCCCAAAAAGCUGGUCUCAGUUCGGAUCGUGGUCUGCAACUCGACCACGUGAAGUC